rnacentral:rRNA from 1 species
UUUACUAUUGGAGCGGUUAGUGGCGGACUGGUGAGUAACACGUAAGCAACCUGCCUAUCAGAGGGGAACAACAGUUAGAAAUGACUGCUAAUACCGCAUAUGCCUAAGUACCACAUGGUACAAUAGGGAAAGGAGCAAUCCGCUGAUAGAUGGGCUUGCGUCUGAUUAGAUAGUUGGUGAGGUAACGGCCCACCAAGUCGACGAUCAGUAGCCGGACUGAGAGGUUGAACGGCCACAUUGGGACUGAGAUACGGCCCAGACUCC